rnacentral:snoRNA from 1 species
GGUGAGGUCCAUCCCCAUGGGACAUCUUUGGCAACGCCUCCCGGAGUAAAUAUGUGGUGCGCUUUACUCACAGGACUCUUCUCUAUGCCUGUGGGAAAUAACUGCAAGACACAA